rnacentral:rRNA from 1 species
AGAGUUUGAUCCUGGCUCAGAGUGAACGCUGGCGGCAGGCCUAACACAUGCAAGUCGAACGGCAGCACAGAGGAGCUUGCUCCUUGGGUGGCGAGUGGCGGACGGGUGAGGAAUGCGUCGGAAUCUGCCUAUUUGUGGGGGAUAACGUAGGGAAACUUACGCUAAUACCGCAUACGACCUACGGGUGAAAGUGGGGGACCGCAAGGCCUCACGCAGAUAGAUGAGCCGACGCCGGAUUAGCUAGUUGGCGGGGUAAAGGCCCACCAAGGCGACGAUCCGUAGCUGGUCUGAGAGGAUGAUCAGCCACACUGGGACUGAGACACGGCCCAGACUCCUACGGGAGGCAGCAGUGGGGAAUAUUGGACAAUGGGCGCAAGCCUGAUCCAGCCAUGCCGCGUGUGUGAAGAAGGCCUUCGGGUUGUAAAGCACUUUUGUCCGGAAAGAAAUCCAAUCGAUUAAUACUCGGUUGGGAUGACGGUACCGGAAGAAUAAGCACCGGCUAACUUCGUGCCAGCAGCCGCGGUAAUACGAAGGGUGCAAGCGUUACUCGGAAUUACUGGGCGUAAAGCGUGCGUAGGUGGUUUGUUAAGUCUGAUGUGAAAGCCCUGGGCUCAACCUGGGAACUGCAUUGGAUACUGGCUUACUAGAGUGCGGUAGAGGGUAGCGGAAUUCCCGGUGUAGCAGUGAAAUGCGUAGAUAUCGGGAGGAACAUCUGUGGCGAAGGCGGCUACCUGGACCAGCACUGACACUGAGGCACGAAAGCGUGGGGGAGCAAACAGGAUUAGAUACCCUGGUAGUCC